UGACGGAUACGUUGAUAUCUC
rnacentral:misc_RNA from 1 species